rnacentral:rRNA from 1 species
GGUAUGCUUAACACAUGCAAGUCGAACGAAAGUUUUUAACUUUAGUGGCGAACGGGUGCGUAAUACGUGAGAAUCUGCCCUUAGGAGGAGGAUAACUGCUGGAAACGGCUGCUAACACUCCAUAUGUCGAGAGAUGAAAAAUUUAUUGCCUAGGGAUGAGCUCGCGCCUGAUUAGCUAGUUGGUGAGGUAAUGGCUCACCAAGGCCACGAUCAGUAGCUGGUUUGAGAGAAUGAUCAGCCACACUGGGACUGAGACACGGCCCAGACUCCUCCGGGAGGCAGCAGUGAGGAAUUUUCCGCAAUGGGCGAAAGCCUGACGGAGCAAUACCGCGUGAGGGAUGAAGGAUUUUGGUCUGUAAACCUCUUUUCUCAAGAAAGAAGUUCUGACGGUACUUGAGGAAUAAGCAUCGGCUAACUCCGUGCCAGCAGCCGCGGUAAUACGGGGGAUGCAAGCGUUAUCCGGAAUCAUUGGGCGUAAAGCGCCUGUAGGUUGUUUAAUAAGUCUGUUGUUAAAGCCUAGGGCUUAACCCUAGAACAGCAAUGGAAACUACUAGACUAGAGUAUGGCAGGGGUAGAGGGAAUUUCUAGUGUAGCGGUGAAAUGCGUAGAUAUUAGAAAGAACACCGGUGGCGAAAGCGCUCUACUGGACCAUUACUGACACUCAGAGGCGAAAGCUAGGGUAGCAAAAGGGAUUAGAUACCCCUGUAGUCCUAGCCGUAAACGAUGGAUACUAGAUGUUGUGUUUUAUAGACAGUAUCGUAGCUAACGCGUUAAGUAUCCCGCCUGGGGAGUACGCUCGCAAGGGUGAAACUCAAAGGAAUUGACGGGGGCCCGCACAAGCGGUGGAGCAUGUGGUUUAAUUCGAUGCAACGCGAAGAACCUUACCAGGACUUGACAUACUACAGAUCUUUUUGAGAAAAAGGAGUGCCUUCGGGAAUGUAGAUACAGGUGGUGCAUGGCUGUCGUCAGCUCGUGUCGUGAGAUGUUGGGUUAAGUCCCGCAACGAGCGCAACCCUUAUUUUUAGUUANUAAUUCGUUAGGUUCUCUAGAAAGACUGCCGGUGACAAACCGGAGGAAGGUGAGGAUGACGUCAAGUCAGCAUGCCCCUUAUGUCCUGGGCUACACACGUGCUACAAUGGUUAAGACAAAGAGUCGCGAGCUCGCAAGAGUCAGCUAAUCUCAUAAACUUAGCCUAAGUUCAGAUUGUAGGCUGCAACUCGCCCACAUGAAGUUGGAAUCGCUAGUAAUCGCUGGUCAGCCAUACAGCGGUGAAUCCGUUCCCGGGCCUUGCACACACCGCCCGUC